AGAGUUUGAUCAUGGCUCAGAAUCAACGCUGGCGGCGUGCCUCAGACAUGCAAGUCGAACGCGAAAGUCCCCUUCGGGGGAUAAGUAGAGUGGCGUCCGGGUGAGUAACACGUAGGUAAUCUACCUUCGGGUGGGGAAUAACCCAGGGAAACUUGGGCUAAUACCGCAUAAUGCAGCGGCACCACAUGGUGACAGUUGUUAAAGCGGGGGAUCUUCGGAUCUCGCGCCUGAAGAGGAGCCUGCGGCAGAUUAGCUAGUUGGUAAGGUAACGGCUUACCAAGGCGACGAUCUGUAGCCGGCCUGAGAGGGCGGUCGGCCACACUGACACUGACAUACGGGUCAGACUCCUACGGGAGGCAGCAGUCGGGAAUUUUGGGCAAUGGGCGAAAGCCUGACCCAGCAACGCCGCGUGAAGGAUGAAAUCCCUCGGGAUGUAAACUUCGCAAGAAUGGGAAGAAUUAGUAGGGGUUAAUACCCUCUAUGAUGACGGUACCAUUUGUAAGCUCCGGCUAACUCCGUGCCAGCAGCCGCGGUAAUACGGGGGGAGCAAGCGUUGUUCGGAUUUACUGGGCGUAAAGGGCGCGUAGGCGGUCAGCACAAGUCAGUUGUGAAAUCUCCGGGCUUAACUCGGAAAGGUCAACUGAUACUGUGCGACUAGAGUGCGGAAGGGGCAACUGGAAUUCUCGGUGUAGCGGUGAAAUGCGUAGAUAUCGAGAGGAACACCUGCGGCGAAGGCGGGUUGCUGGGCCGACACUGACGCUGAUGCGCGAAAGCCAGGGGAGCGAACGGGAUUAGAUACCCUAGUAGUCC
rnacentral:rRNA from 1 species